GCCCAUGGACACAACGCAUGGCACACAUAUUAAAAUACACUUUACAUCUCGUCUGAUCUCAGAAGUUAAGCAGGGUCGGGCCUGGUUAGUACUUGGAUGGGAUACCACCUAGGAAGACUGGGUGCUGUAGGCU
rnacentral:rRNA from 1 species